AGGCUCCGAUGGCGUCUACGAGAAAAGAUGCCAGCCGGCGGCGGAAUGUUGGGGAACCGGAAAGCAUCUAGCGACUCGUGCUGCGCUGCGGCGUUUCUGUCGGGGGAGGCGGGGUCUGAAGCAGACUCACAGCCAGAGAGUAACCAGAGCCAUCCACCCUGCCUGUGAGGGCUCCUCACUACAGUCUACCAGAACCUGACUCAUCCUGCCAAAGCCUAAGUCGGUGGCCUGGGUCUCAGCAGGGUUGGACAAGGCAUGUGAUGCUAGGCAAGUCAGUGCCCUGUCUGAGCCUCAGAUCCCGAAAACAAAGAGUUUAGACACAAUCUAAGUUUGGACCUGCUGAUGCCACUCAUGGGAAAGAGCCCAGCCUGGUGAGGAACAAGGGGUCAGAGGCUGGUGAGGAGGAAAGUGAGUCGGAGACAUGGAAACAUCUCCCCGGCAGCUAAGGCAAAGAAGCUCCUACCUCUGGAACUGGGCCCUGCAAUAUCUGGCCAGGUGACUGAGGAGUGCCAGGCUUGGGGGCUCAGUGUCUGCAGA